UCUCCAGAACCAUAAGCAGCCGGAGUGAGACUGAAGUCGCGGGGAGAGAGAAGAGGGGGGGGGAGGAUGGAGAAAUAGUAGGGUGAAGACUGAAUUUUCCUUCUGGGUCCCAAGAUCUUAGAUCCAGCCUCUGCCUUUUCUUCUUUCUCCCGAAAUCGCGCCUGCAUGUCUAUCACACUCAGCAGGCCUGGGCCUCUUCUCUUCUUCCUCCGUCCCCCUCCCCCCAGUCACAGCAGGAUGAGGUAAUUGGGUUGUGAUUAUGACAUCAUAAUAAGCUCAGCUCUUCCUCCCCCAUAUUUGAAAGGCGGCGUCUGCAGGACUCCUCUUUCUCUCAAGCUUCUUUUUUUCAUUCUUUGUAAAGAAGAGAUCAGAUCCUGUAAAUAUCUGCUUUGUCUACAAAGCAGAGGUGAUCAGGGAGAGGAAAGAACUAUUCUUUCAUUAAAGCCACAGGAUUUCUGGCUCUGAAAUAACGGGACAUGUUAAACCUAAAACUCAGUCUCCCUUUAGAAAGGCCUAGAUGAAAGAAGCUAAAAUAGAGGGGAAGGUCAGGGGCAGAGACUUGAGACUGACAAGGCAAAUAAGGAAUGAAUCCACAUUGCUGCCCUCAGAGAGCAAAGGGGGAACGGAGAGAUUUUAACCCAAGUUUGAACUAACCAAGAAAGAUUUUUCAUUGGAGGCUGGCAAGUUUGUAAAAAAAAAAAAAAAAAAAAAAAGAAGAAGAAGAAAAAAAGAAGGUGGGACACUAAGUUAAGUAGGGGGUAUUUUCUUCAUCAAGGAUCAAUGAUGGUCGACCCAGAAAACUGAGCAGCCUCCUCAACCAACUUCUUAUAAAGGCUUUUUCUUCUCAGCACCCCACAACAUGAAAGUGGGACUUGAAGCAAGAAGCAUUGAUAACCAGUUGUUCGUUUUCCAUAGUCUAUCUGCUUCUGCCUCCUUCGAAGAACAAUCUCAUUUGUUUCUACCUCCUGCCUGUGAAGAAAUAAAUGUCUUUUUUAAAAAAAAUGUAAAA